CAGAGCUGAAGCCCCAACUGAUGAUCCUAUAAUGAUUUUCUUACGGCUGCGAUUGGUUUCCCCUUCGUGAAGAUUAAAGUUUCCAGUAUAAUUCAAAAUCACACCGUUAUCACGAAGACCAGAUGGCACACUUCCAGUUAGCAUGUUAUUCUGCACGUACAGUUCUUUCAAAUUUGAUAGGUCUUCUAAGGUGGAAGGAAGGUGUCCACUCAACUGAUUGUUCUCAAGAUGUAUUAUCUGUAAGUUGGGACAUCCGCUAAAAUCGGGUAUUGGACCAGUCAGUGAAUUACCGUCCAGCCAGAGCUCAACUAAGCUGCUCAACUUUGUCAACUCCGACGGAAGAUUUCCAGUCAAAUUUUUCCCAGACAAUUUAAUUGAUGUUAUUCUUGGUCUGAUAUCUGAGUCACAACGGAUCCAGG
rnacentral:misc_RNA from 1 species